rnacentral:sRNA from 1 species
CCUCGUCGACGAGCUGCGGGCAGAUGAAGUGGACGUGCGCGUCGAUGGCACCGGCGGUGAGGAUCUUGCCGUUGCCCGCGAUGAUCUCGGUUUCGGGGCCGAUGACCAGGUCGGGGUGGACGCCGUCCAUGGUGUCGGGGUUGCCGGCCUUGCCCAGGGCGGCGAUCCGCCCGUCGCGGACACCGACGUCGGCCUUCACGACGCCCCAGUGGUCGAGGACGAGCGCACCGGUGAUCACGGUGUCGGGAGCGCCCUCGGCCCGGGUGGUGAGGGCUUGGCCCAUGGACUCGCGGA